rnacentral:lncRNA from 1 species
UGACAAGGGGGCCCAGCCAAUGGGGGUGGCGAGCCGUAGCUGCCCUCCCGCGCGUUCCAAUCGCAGGCAGCAACUGUUGGGGUGGGCGGGGCUCGGGCGGGCGGGGAUCCGGAGCGAAGCGGCGCGGGGCGGAGUCCUCGGGCGCAGCGGCGGUGGCAGCAGCGGCGCCCCUCUGGGUGACUUGGCCGUGAGAAAGUGAAAGGAGCCCGCAGGCGGCGGCGACAGCUGCGCUGGGAGGGGCUUGUUUCCAGGCUCAGAGGCCCCGCGCACUCUGCGGGUGCGGAGCGAGCUUUUCGGUGUGCACUGUGACAACCACAAACACACUUUUGAACGUAGUGGGGCUUGGCUGCUGCGAGUUACGCAGCCACAACUUUAAACUACCGAGGGACGAUGUAAGACUGCUGUGUCGCUUUUCUUUCCUUCAAAUAAACUUUUACUCGGUACCUGUUCUUGGCAAUUAGACUGCGUUAAUCACAGCCACAAAGACGUGGAAAUGUCUGCCGUCAAGAAAUUGGAAAUCGUAUCGAGGCAAGAAUUACAAGUAAAAAGUUGAAUAACAAGUGGUGGGGGAGGGGGAAUGGCUGAAGAAAAUAAAAUAGAAAAAAAAACCCAGACUGGCAAGCCUGUUGCUAACCAACCUGCCAGGAGACCUUUCAACUGGGCAAAAUGUGC